CGCGUAGGCGGUCUUUUAAGUUGGAUGUGAAAUCCUGCGGCCCAACCGCAGAACUGCAUCCAAAACUGGGAGACUUGAGGAUGGAAGAGGGCAGUGGAAUUCCUGGUGUAGCGGUGAAAUGCGUAGAUAUCAGGAGGAACACCCGUGGCGAAGGCGGCUGCCUGGUCCAUAUCUGACGCUGAGGUGCGAAAGCCAGGGGAGCGAACG
rnacentral:rRNA from 1 species